rnacentral:rRNA from 1 species
GCAUCCUACGGGACGCAGUAGUAGGGAAUCUUCCACAAUGGACGAAAGUCUGAUGGAGCAACGCCGCGUGAGUGAAGAAGGGUUUCGGCUCGUAAAGCUCUGUUGGUAGCGAAGAAAGAUAGAGGUAGUAACUGGCCUUUAUUUGACGGUAAUUACUUAGAAAGUCACGGCUAACUACGUGCCAGCAGCCGCGGUAAUACGUAGGUGGCAAGCGUUGUCCGGGUUUAUUGGGCGUAAAGCGAGUGCAGGCGGUUCA